AUUGAACGCUGGCGGCAGGCCUAACACAUGCAAGUCGAGCGAGCGGCGGACGGGUGAGUAAUGUCUGGGAAACUGCCUGAUGGAGGGGGAUAACUACUGGAAACGGUAGCUAAUACCGCAUACCAUCAGAUGUUCCCAGAUGGGAUUGGCUAGUUGGUGGGGUAACGGCUCACCUAGGCGACGAUCCCUAGCUGGUCUGAGCGGGUGACCAGCCACACGGGACCGGAGACACGGUCCAGACUCCUACGGUAGGCAGGAGUUGGGAAUAGUGCACAAUGGGCGCAAGCCUGAUGCAGCCAUGCCGCGUGUGUGAAGAAGGCCUUCGGGUUGUAAGGCACUUUCAGCGGGGAGGCGUUACCCGCAGAAGAAGCACCGGCUAACUCCGUGCCAGCAGCCGCGGUAAUUG
rnacentral:rRNA from 1 species